GAACGGGUGAGGAUCACGUGAGAAACCUGCCCCAGACUCUGGGAUAACAAUUGGAAACGAUUGCUAAUACCGGAUACGCCCUUCGGGGGAAAGGCUUCGGCCACCGUUUGAGGAUCCCGCGUCCGAUUAGCUAGUUGGUAGGGUAACGGCCUACCAAGGCGAUAAUCAAUAGCUGAUUUGAGAGGAUGAUCAGCCACACUGGGACUGAGAUACGGCCCAGACUCC
rnacentral:rRNA from 1 species